AGAGUUUGAUCCUGGCUCAGGACGAACGCUGGCGGCAUGCUUAACACAUGCAAGUCGAACGGACUGAUUCCUUCGGGAUGAAAGUUAGUGGCGAACGGGUGAGUAAUGUAUGAGCAACCUGCCUCUGUCAACGGGAUAACAGUUGGAAACGACUGCUAAUACGGUAUAUGACCACGGCACCGCAUGGUGCAGCGGUAAAAGAUUUUAUCGGACAGAGAUGGGCUCAUAUCCCAUUAGGUAGUUGGUGAGAUAACAGCCCACCAAGCCGACGAUGGGUAGCCGAGCUGAGAGGCUGAUCGGCCACAUUGGGACUGAAACACGGCCCAGACUCCUACGGGAGGCAGCAGUGGGGAAUAUUGGGCAAUGGAGGCAACUCUGACCCAGCAAUGCCGCGUGAGCGAUGAAGGUAGUUUUAUUGUAAAGCUCUUUUCUCUGGAACGAACAAAUGACGGUACCAGAGGAAUAAGCCCCGGCUAACUACGUGCCAGCCGCCGCGGUAAUAC
rnacentral:rRNA from 1 species